rnacentral:rRNA from 1 species
CCUAGAGUUCGGGCUGCACGCGCGCUACACUGACAGAGACAACGAGUGGUGCCCCUUGUCCGAAAUGACUGGGUAAACUUGUGAAACUUUGUCGUGCUGGGGAUGGAGCUUUGUAAUUUUUGCUCUUCAACGAGGAAUUCCUAGUAAGCGCAAGUCAUCAGCUUGCGUUGACUACGUCCCUGCCCUUUGUACACACCGCCCGUCGCUACUACCGAUUGAAUGGCUUAGUGAGGACUUGGGAGAGUACAUCGGGGAGCCAGCAAUGGCACCCUGACGGCUCAAACUCUUACAAACUUGGUCAUUUAGAGGAAGUAAAAGUCGUAACAAGGUAUCUGUAGGUGAACCUGCAGAUGGAUCAUUUCGAUGAAAAACCUUUUUUUCUGAGGUGUGGCUCGCACCUGUCCAACUAAACUUGAGCUACCCUUUUAUACACGGUUGCAUCGGUCGGCCUGUCCAACAGUGCGCGCGCGAAAUUUAUUUUCCGCUGCACUGAGCAGACGGGUCGGCACUUUACACAAACACUUUUGAUAAUCUAGGAUUUGAAUGAAAGUUCAUUUUUAUGAUGGAUCCGACUGGUAAUGCGGUCGUCUAAAUCUAAAAAACAACUUUUGGCAACGGAUCUCUUGGUUCUCCCAUC